CUUGUCCACGGCCUCAGGACUUUCCCCAGGGAAAUGCUUCCAGUCGUGGAUCUCUGGGCAUUGCUGGGUGCAGCUUUGUGGAUUAAGGGAUGCAUUUUAGAAGGUGUAAUGCAGAGAUGAUUAAAAAAAAAAAGUGGCUUCCAACAGAAAGGCAGCAUCAAGGGGAUAUAUCUGAUAUUGAUUUCCCUUUGGGCAAAGGGAAUCCCAGGACCCUGCUCCCAAAACUCUGAUGUCUGCCUCCAAAACUCUGAUGCCACUAGUGAGGUCAGAGCUCCACAGGCUGAAGAAGUGAACAUCCCUGCUGCUGCCGGUGGCUGCUGCACUCCCGUGGCCGCCAGCCGCAUCCACAGCACCUGUGGGGCAG